CCUACGGGUGGCAGCAGUGGGGAAUAUUGCACAAUGGAGGGAACCCUGAUGCAGCGACGCCGCGUGGAGGAAGGAGCGUUUCGGCGCGUAAAGCCUUGUCGGCAGGGAAGAAGUUGACGGUACCUGACCCGGAAGCCCCGGCUAACUACGUGCCAGCAGCCGCGGUAAUACGUAGGGAGCAAGCGUUAUCCGGAUUUACUGGGUGUAAAGGGGGCGCAGACGGGAAUGCAAGUUAGGAGUGAAAUCCCGGGGCCCAACACAGGAACUGCUUUUGGAACUGAAUUGCUGGAGUACAGGAGGGGAAGGCGGAAUGACUAGUGUAGCGGUGAAAUGCGUAGAUAUUAGGAGGAACACCGGUGGCGAAGGCGGCUUGCUGGACUGUGACUGACGUUGAGGCACGAAGGUGUGGGGAGCAAACAGGAUUAGAUACCCGUGUAGUC
rnacentral:rRNA from 1 species